ACUCCUACGGGAGGGCAGCAGUGGGGAAUAUAUGCAGCAAUGGCGCAAGCCUGAUGCAGCCAUGCCGCGUGUGUGAAGAAGGCCUUCGGGUUGUAAAGCACUUUCAGUCGUGAGGAAGGUAGUGUAGUUAAUAGCUGCAUUAUUUGACGUUAGCGACAGAAGAAGCACCGGCUAACUCCGUGCCAGCAGCCGCGGUAAUACGGAGGGUGCGAGCGUUAAUCGGAAUUACUGGGCGUAAAGCGCAUGCAGGUGGUUUGUUAAGUCAGAUGUGAAA
rnacentral:rRNA from 1 species